GAGAGAGGAAGGGAAGGAGUUAGAGGGAAAUGGAGAUAGAGACAGAGACAGAGACAGAGACAGAGACAGAGACAGGCAGACAGACAGACAGAAAACACACACGUAUUCACGUUCACGUGCGUACAUCCAUGUGCGUGUGUGAUUUCCCUUCUGUGAAUCCAACGUAAACCCUUAGGCAGCUCUUGCCGAGCAACACUUCACAAUGACUCCUUACCUACCACCCCGGCCAGCAGCUGCCCCCGUCCACUACAGAAUCAAGAAUGGCAUUUCCUGUGCAUGGGUUUCUCUGUGAACGCCCAUGUUGAAACGACUGACAAAUCUUUCAAUGAAAAGAUCACUUGCAGGAGCAGAGGCAACGGACCAAGGAAAUACAACUGCAGAAGGGAAGGGCCUCAAGUCGGUCAAGAGCAGACUCUGAAACAUACAUGCAUCUUUACACAUCAGUGCCUCCUGAGGUCCGUGUGAGGGAAUGAACGGGAGAAGUAGAGGUGGGAGAAAGGACAUCCAGGUUUCAAAACUUAAAGCCUUUGUUCAGGUCAUGUUCAUCUACCUUGAGAAUAUCUGCUGCGGAGGCAUCAAAAGUCCUCACGUCUACUGUGCCAGUGAAGGCGCCAGGAGGCUGAGGUCCCUCAUGUCAGACACAGGCACGCACUCUCAGAGCUGCACACUGGUUGUUAGUCUAUACUGCAGUGCUAGCUGGCUGCCUCCUUCUCUCGUUCGCGCUUUUAUCUGUGAAGGCCAUUUACACGCAGAAGGGCAUCUCAGCUCAGUAUGAACAAUCUCUGUGUGUUUGGGGUAUGGCAAGAAGGAUACUUGUUUCAGACUUGAUAUUCUUAGGGGCUUAUCAAAAUCCUAAGAGAAGGGGUGUAUGUGUGUGUCCACGCUAAGAAUGAGGGGUUAGAACAGAAGUCAACUUGGAUGAGCAGAUAUCUCUGCAGUAAGAUGGCCUCCUUCUGGGUGUAUGUACAGAAGUGGUAGAGCAAGAUCUUGAGACUCCUGAAAGACUCCCCAUGCCUCCAGCAGUGCAAGGGUGUCCCCAUUCCUGCACCCUCCCUAGCAAUGCUGCCACGUGUUUUGCUAAUCUCUGCCAUUUUGACUAGAGUAAGGUGACGCCCCAGAGAACUUUAAAUUGCACUUCCCUGAUGACUAAGGUUGUUGAACAUUUUCUUAAAGCGUUUCUCGGCCAUUUUCAUUUCAACUUUUGAGAACUCACUCACUGGGUUAUUUUCUUGAUGUUCAGGUUUUUAAAAUGCUUUCUAUAUUCUAGAGCAGUGGCUCUCAACCUCCCCAAAGCUGCAACCCUUCAAUACAGUUCAUGUUGUGAUGACCUCUCACCAUAAAGGUAUUUUGUUGCUACUUCGUAACUAUGAUUUUGCUACCAUUAUGAAUUCCAAUGUAACUAUCUGAUAAGCAGGAUAUCUGCUAUGUGACCCCCUAAGGGAUCAUGGUCCACAGGUUGAGAGCUGCUGUUCUAGCUAGUAACCCUCUCUACUUGGCGAAGAUUGGCUAUCAGCUGCUUUGCAUGAAUGAUGGUGUCGUUUUUUGUACAAAGCUUUUCAACUUUAUGAAAUUCCAUUUAUUAAUUGUUUAUCUUACUGAGGACGCUACCAGCUCUUGAAGUCUUUUCUCUGCUAAUGGGUGCUAUGCUUAGUGUAUAGCUCGGCCUUCACCCCAGGAGCUUCCUGUAGUAGACAGUAAUUAACAGCGAUCCAGAGCUGGACAGGAGCACCCAGUCCUACACGGGAUAUCUGUUAUCAAACUCUCCCCGCAAGGCUCAGGAUCUGUGCAGAAGAACCAGAAAUACCAUAAGGGCCACAGGUGGGAAGUAACUCCAAGGAAACGGUGUCUUCCAAGCACGGCAAGGCUGCACAUAUGAAUUCAGAGACCAUGAAUGCAUGUGUAGUAGCUCACAAGUUCAAGCCAGACAAAAUCCCAACACAGGAAAGGAGAAGUGGGCACAAAGCCUGGCCAAGAAGCGAUCUGUAAUUGAUACCUCCUGGGAGAGGGAAAAUCAGUUUUCUCCAAUGGGAUAACACUGUGCAUACCAACUCCACUCUAAGGCAGGCUGCCUCACGCUCUGGAGUAGUCGGCUAACUCAAAAGACUCCAUGGCUUUUGCUGUUGUUGUUGUUAUUGUUUUGUGUUUUCUAUGUUAUUUUGUUUUCUUGUUUCUUUUUACUUUUUGAGAGAGAAAGACAUGAAGUUGGGGGAGUAAUGAGUGUGAGGAGGACCUGGGAGGAGUUUGGGGAGGACAGAAAAUAUGAUAAAAAUAUAUCGUAUGAGAAAAUUUAAAAGUAAUUAAAAAACUAAGAUACAA
rnacentral:lncRNA from 1 species